rnacentral:rRNA from 1 species
AUAUUAGUCAAUGCUCGUAAGAGUGAACUAGCUAACUGAGAUCAUGCAAACGUACAAUAUAGUACGGUCAUUUAACAAUAGGUUAAAGAUUGUGUCAAUCAUGAUGUCGUAUGGGAAAAAAAAUGAUAUUACCUUACUACUAGUGCUGUCCAAAGCUGGUGCCAGAAGACUCGGUAAGGCCAGAGGCGCAAACGUUAACCAUCUUAAACAGGCGUAAAGGGUUCGUAGGCUGCUUUAUAUAUUAUCUUUAUAAUUUUUGUUAACUGUUUUUAUAAAUAUAAUUAAAUUUAAUACCGUGUAGAAAUAAUUUUAUAUUUUUUUAUAAUAAUAUAGUUUUAUAAAGUGAAAUUAAUUAAAGAUAGAAUCUGAAAGAGGUUGAAACAUACAAUAUUUAGUGGAGGAGUGAAAUCCUUAGAUAUUAGAUGGAGUUCUAAAGGUGAAAGCUUUUCAACUACUAAGGAUUGACGCUGAGGAACGAAGGUGAGGGCCGAAAACAGGAUUAGAGACCCUGGUAUUCCUCACAGUCAACUAUGAAUGGUAGCUCUAACACAUUUAAAAAUUUUUAGUGCAAUGCUAACGCGUAACCAUUCCGCCUUGUGAGUACGGUUGCAAAACUGAAAACAAAAAAAUUAGUCGGUCUUGGAGCAAACGAAGUGAAGCAUGUUAUUUAAU